UACGAAGGGGGCUAGCGUUGUUCGGAAUCACUGGGCGUAAAGCGCACGUAGGCGGAUCUUUAAGUCAGGGGUGAAAUCCCGAGGCUCAACCUCGGAACUGCCUUUGAUACUGGGGGAUCUCGAGUCCGGGAGAGGUGAGUGGAACUGCGAGUGUAGAGGUGAAAUUCGUAGAUAUUCGCAAGAACACCAGUGGCGAAGGCGGCUCACUGGCCCGGAACUGACGCUGAGGAGCGAAAGCGUGGGGAGCGAACAGG
rnacentral:rRNA from 1 species